rnacentral:rRNA from 1 species
GCCAGACUCCUACGGGAGGCAGCAGUGGGGGAUAUUGCACAAUGGGGGGAACCCUGAUGCAGCGACGCCGCGUGGGUGAAGGAGUAUUUCGGUAUGUAAAGCCCUAUCGGCAGGGAGGAAGCAAGACGGUACCUGACUAAGAAGCCCCGGCUAACUACGUGCCAGCAGCCGCGGUAAUACGUAGGGGGCGAGCGUUAUCCGGAUUCACUGGGUGUAAAGGGAGCGUAGACGGCAGCACAAGUCUGGAGUGAAAUCCCGGGGCUUAACCCCGGAACUGCUUUGGAAACUGUGCGGCUGGAGUGCAGGAGGGGUAAGCGGAAUUCCUAGUGUAGCGGUGAAAUGCGUAGAUAUUAGGAGGAACACCGGUGGCGAAGGCGGCUUACUGGACUGUAACUGACGUUGAGGCUCGAAAGCGUGGGGAGCAAACAGGAUUAGAUACCCCGGUAGAC